UGGAAAUCCUUGGUGCUAUUGGUCUCUGAGU
rnacentral:piRNA from 1 species